AUUUCUGAAUUAUUCAGUGUUGUCCACGUACUAGUUGUCAUAAACAGACUUUCGAUCUCUUUAUGAUGGCAGUACAGCAGAUCACUUAAGGAUUGCUAAGACAUGAAUUAACGUUUCUAACACUUGACAAAGUUACAACAUCCUACGUUGAAAAUGGACUAGACGAUACUGAUAAUAAUAAUGGUUUUAUGCAAAGUACGAGUAAUGGAUUGCAGUGCAACAGAUCACUCAAGGCUUGCUGAGCAUGAAUUAACAUUUUUA